AGGCUGGAGUAGACAGGAACCACGAGAGGCAGGGAGGACUGUACAGGGGUUGCUGACCAGGUGGAAGAUGAUGGGAGCCUCAGAAGGUGUCGUGGGACAGGGUCAGGGAGAGGGCUCUAUGCGGCCAGGAUCUGGAUGCAGAUUGUUGAGACUGAAAUUUGGCUCAGAUCCCUUCUAGUUGUGUCUGUUUAUCUUCAGUUUCCUUGUCUAUAAAAUGGGGAGAGAUUGUGUGUCCCCGGCAUCACUGGACUGUUAAUAGCUAUUGCAUUUAUAGCAUUUAUCCCAGAACCUGAAACACAGUAAAUGCUCAGUAAGUGUUAUUAUUUGCCCCAAACUGUCUUAGUGCUUUCCCCAAGAGCUUUGUGUUGUUUGUACUAUGAGGAAUAAUGAGGGUGGUGUGGGAGUCGGCCUCUGUGUCUGCAGAGAGGACCACAGGCCACAGGAAUAGAGACAGGUAGAUAGGAUCAAGGUGACAGGAACAGAUGUUCAGAGCAAGAGAUGAAGACGGCAUCAUCAACCCAGACAAGCCAGUUGGAGGCAUCUGUCCACCCAUGUGGUUCCAGACACGUUCAUGUGGCCACCAUGACCCCGUCGGCAUCACAGGGGUAACCAAGGUCCACAGAACGAGGGGAAAGGGUCACUGUGGAUCAAGCCAGGCUCCUCUGAGCAGUCCAGGGUCUAUUUACAGAGAGCAGCAAGUUCCUGGGACAGAGGAGACAGAAGGGAAUUUCCAGGUUCUUCAGGACGUUCACAACCACACUGAGAAGCAUCUUUGCAGAUAAGUAUUUAAACUUACC
rnacentral:lncRNA from 1 species